UGGUGCGGAAGUGGGGUUGGGUCUGAGUGGGCUGGAGAGCGGCGAAAGGGCCUGGGGCGUCAAGGGCUAGGAGCUGUGGAAGGGCACUGCGUGUUGGCCACCCCGGGAUGCAAUUCUAGCCUCCAUGCACCUCCAACAGCCCUCGCGACCUGCGUCGCACCUGCUCACUCGCCUGGUCCACGAGCAACAGGUUCUGGGCGCUGGUGGCUCCUCCUGCCCUUGGUGCUCAAGUGCGUCUGGGGCCGGCCUGCGAGUGGCCGGGUGCAUCCAGCUAGUGCGUGUUCUGCAGACUGACAAACCUCUGGACUUGCAGUAAAGUCAACUAUUGGGCCAGGUCCAGGAUCUCCUUGUAUAAAGCAGACUCUCUCUGGCUUGAUGAACAUGCAUCUGAAAAAAAUUAAAAGGGCUCAAGACACAGAUGGGAAUGGUGAGGAUCUCCAGCUAAAGAAAAAAAUGCAAGUGACCAUGGGAUGGUGAAGGAGCCUACUCAAGGUAGUUGCUUCUUUCUUUUUCUUAUGAAGCAUGCAGAAAGAAGAAGCAUCUGUUCUGAGAGCAAAGAAGAUGAAAACAUAAAUUAAAAAUUCAGUCCCAGUGAGCCGCCUUCUGUAUCUGAGUCAGAGAGAAGAGAGCCAGUUACACAAAAAAUCAUCUGUGGGGAAGCAUAAGGAGUUGGGAAUCAGCCACAUCUGCCUUUGAAUCCUCUCUGCCAUUUACUAGGUGCAUGAUCUUGGAUUGAGAUCUGGAACCUACUGCAGAAGGCACAGUCCUCACUGGAUGUCAGAAAAGUCCCUGUGACGCUACCCUGGGGGAGUUUGUUGGAAAUCUGCUCUCAGAAAGCUGCCUUUCUCUAGUGCUCCAGGGAAAGUUGUUCGUGAGGAGGUAUCUCACCAGAAGCAAUGCUACAAAACUGCCCAAAGGUGGUAUCACUCUUCUCCUGACCACUCUGCAGGAACCUGGCUCUGGAGAAGCUGGGCACACCGUAGGAACCUGGUGCUGGAAGCUGCCUGAGCUGUAGGACCUGGGCACUAGGCACAUGCUGCAGAAGUCUGCGCAGAAGGGAGCACAUGAGAAGCAGGAGGCAAAACCCUUUCCCCCUGUAAUGUCCCUACAGCAAUCUCUACUGAUAAAGUGUGACAUGGUACAGUUGACAGCGGAAAAUAUUUAAAGGGCCCAUUUUCACAGAGCAGGGAAAUAGAAAGAAUUUGGACCUGAGAAGCAAUAAUUUAUGACAGGCAUAUAAGGGGUAAAGAAUUCAUGAUUGGAAAUCUCUGUUAGGUCUUGAUAAAAGUGAUUGUCUUAAACUUAUACAAUGUAUUGGCUUAAUUAUUCAAACCCUGAUAUCAAUGUAUCAGUGCCUCCUGGUGAUAGCAUAUUGAAAUUGCAUUUCAAAUCUUUGUGCCUAUUAGAAGCAGCUUUUAUAAUCGAAAUUUUAGAACAGGCUAUAAGAUUGUAGCAAACAUUUCUCUACAUCCAUAGUUCCUAAAUUACAAAUUACACUUUAAAAAACUUUCUAGUUAGAGGAACUUAUCCUGCAUAAGAGAUAUUAUAUAAAUUUGAAUGUGGUUUGAUUUGAUCCUGAAAGAUUCAUUUAAGUACCAGGGUCAGGAGUUCAAAUGCUAGCUAAUCCAACUGCUCAGGUAAUCCAGAUUAAGACCCUUACAAUGGGCCAGUACCAAAAAGGUGUCCAGGUUGGUUUCCGACUUGUAAAAGUGGUUAGAUACAUGGUUGUAGAGUAAGUUCCUAAUUCUAGUAACUGAGUGACUGCUGAGCACGUGAAAGGGUCAGCAGGACUGAUGAGUAUUACUAACAGGGUAUUAAAAGAAAAUGCAGUGUAUAAUUUUUUCACUUCAAUUUGUAUAAAUAUAGAUUUUUAUGUAUAUUUAAUUUAUAUUUACC